rnacentral:rRNA from 1 species
CGGAAAGCCUGAUGGAGCAACGCCGCGUGGAGGAUGAAGGCCUUCGGGUUGUAAACUUCUUUUCUAUGCGAUGAAUAUGACAGUAACAUAGGAAUAAGGGUCUGCUAACUACGUGCCAGCAGCCGCGGUCAUACGUAGGACCCAAGCGUUAUCCGGAUUGACUGGGCGUAAAGAGUUGCGUAGGUGGUUUAUCAAGCGAAUAGUGAAAUCUUGUGGCUCAACCAUGAGGCUAUUAUUCGAACUGAUAAACUCGAGAAGAGGAGAGGCAUCUGGAAUUCUUAGUGUAGGGGUAAAAUCCGUAGAUACUAGGAGGAACACCAAUGGCGUAGGCAGGAUGCUGGACUCUUUCUGACACUAAGGCACGAAAGCGUGGGGAGCGAACCGGAUUAGAUACCCGGGUAGUCCACGCCGUAAACUAUGGAUGCUAGCUGUAAGAGGUAUCGACCCCUCUUGUAACGAAGCUAACGCGUUAAGCAUCCCGCCUGGGGAGUACGGUCGCAAGACUA